UCGAGAAUUUUUGACAAUGGGGGAAACCCUGAUCGAGCGACGCCGCGUGGAGGAUGAAGGUCUUCGGAUUGUAAACUCCUGUCAUUGGGGAACAAUGCAUAAAUAUUAACUGUAUUUGUGUUGAUAGUACCCGAAGAGGAAGAGACGGCUAACUCUGUGCCAGCAGCCGCGGUAAUACAGAGGUCUCAAGCGUUGUUCGGAUUCAUUGGGCGUAAAGGGUGCGUAGGCGGCGCGGUAAGUCGGGUGUGAAAUCUCGGAGCUUAACUCCGAAACUGCAUUCGAUACUGCCGUGCUUGAGGACUGGAGAGGAGACUGGAAUUUACGGUGUAGCGGUGAAAUGCGUAGAUAUCGUAAGGAAGACCAGUGGCGAAGGCGGGUCUCUGGACAGUUCCUGACGCUG
rnacentral:rRNA from 1 species